UUUGAAACAAUUUGAAUUACAUUAUUAUGAUUCUUAUUACAAAUUAUGUGCCUUAAUAAAACACAGCGUUCUGUUGAGAGAGCUGUCUAUGAUCUUUGCCUUAUUUUAGUCUAUGGUAUAAGAAAACUUACCAAUUGUCUCUGCUUUAUCAUCUAGUUUACCUUCUUCAUACACCAGCUGGCACCACUUUCUAUGGAAAUUGGUGAUCUGUCAACUUGACAUUUCAUAGCGUUUGUGAUUUUUGCCGCCUACACAGCAAAAAUUUUUAUCUUCUUGUUUUUUAUGUAUAAAAUAAGAAUAAAACACAGUUAAAAUGUGCAAAUAGGAAAUAUAAGUGAUGCAGAGUGUAAGGGUAAAGAGUGGUGACGGUGAAAGGUUGACUUCUGUCGGCCCGGAUGAAGGAAAAGCUCGAAAUCCGAGUCGUCUUUUUCAGAUUCAUCCUCAUCAUCCUCGGAAAUGGAAAUGUUUGCUUCACCACCUCCAAAUAGGCGACGGAGGCCAUGUCAAAUAUUACAAAUUGGAUUAAGAUCAUUUUUAGUGAAUAAUUACUUCUCCAAGAAGUGCAGUGAAUAUUUGCUUCUCCAUGAAGUGUUUGGUCUGCAGUAACAUCCAGAUACUGGCUGGACAAGAGAGUAGUUGAUAAGACCCCCAAUAUUUAAUUGGAGGUGGGGGUAUGUAUACCUUUAUGAAAUAUUACUGCAGAGACCUACGAAGGAACAAUAACAUCUUGUAUUUAUGAGUUUAUAAUUUUACAAGCAUGUUAUUAAUAGUUAAUUGUUUAAUGUUAUGUUAUUCAUAACAAGUUUUUAGUAAUGUUUUAAUUGUUCAAGAUGAAAACAUGUUUAUGUUUAUACAUAUUUAUAUUUUCAGAUGGGGAGAUCUUACUAUUAACCUACCAUAAGUACCAGAAUGAUUUUAUUGGUUGAUAAGAAGUUAAUGACAUAAUGUUGAUCUCAAGGAGAUGUCCUAAAUAAUUUGAGUUAUUUAACCUAAAGACUGGUUAUUUGUUUAAUAAGUUUCUUAUUGGUUCGUCUGCUUCUCAGAGAGUACAAUAAGUUGUUUAAUGUAUUAUUUUGUAUUGUGAUAUUAAACUUCUUUAUAUUCUUUCAUUCUUAA